UUCCUCCCUGGAGACCCCCACCGUGCUGCACAUAUUUGAUGCAUAGAUGUGCGUAUGUGACUGUCAUUGGGAGGCAUAGAGAGCAGGAGAUCCACAUCUUAUACAUGUGGCAGGGCUCCAGCUAGGCUUCAGUGUGAUCCGCUGUGGUCUGUAGGAAUCUACCUAGCAUUUCCAUGUUGCUGGGAGCUGCUGUGAAUAAUAACUGUGAAGACUCCAGUGUGAGUCAGUGUGUGUAGAUAGAGGAGAGGGGGAGAGCGGAGCUGGGAGCUGAAGGCUGAGCACACAUCUACACUGCUCUCUAUCUAUUCUACUCUCCUCUAUUUACAAUAUACAAGGAGAGAGAGAAGAGGCACAAGUGUGGUGUGCAGGAUGGGCGCCGUGAUGGGAACCUUCUCCUCCCUGCAGACGAAGCAGAGAAGACCCUCUAAAGGUCAACUGUAUGUUAUGGACUACGCCCCUCGCCAAAACAAGUCAGACAAAUUAGAAGAUGAGCUGGAAAUGGCGACAGUGUGUUGUCGCCCAGAAGGGCUAGAACAACUCGAAGCACAAACUAAUUUUUCAAAACGAGAGCUCCAAGUUCUUUACAGGGGUUUCAAAAAUGAAUGUCCUAGUGGAGUUGUUAAUGAAGACACAUUCAAGCAAAUCUAUUCCCAAUUCUUUCCUCAUGGAGAUGCUAGCAUGUAUGCCCAUUAUCUAUUUAAUGCAUUUGAUGCAGCUCAGUCUGGAUCUGUAAAAUUUGAGGAUUUUGUAGCAGCUUUGUCAGUUUUGUUAAGAGGAACAAUCCAUGAAAAGCUGAGGUGGACUUUCAAUCUCUAUGACUUAAACAAAGAUGGAUACAUUAACAAAGAGGAAAUGAUGGAUAUAGUUAAAGCCAUAUAUGACAUGAUGGGGAAAUAUACCUACCCUGUACUCAAGGACGAUGCCCCAAAGCAACAUGUGGACUUUUUUUUUCAGGCAAAGGACUUAGCAAGAAGAUUUAGAUGAAGUGACAGGUUAUAGCAGAAGAACAGAUCUGUGAAUUGAGAAGAGCUUUUGAAAAAAAAUACAUCUGACCAACAGAAAAUGGAUAAAAAUAAAGAUGGAGUUGUAACCUUGGAUGAAUUCAUUGAAUCAUGUCAAGAGGAUGACAAUAUUAUGAGGUCAUUGCAACUGUUCGAGAAUGUUAUGUAACACGGAAAGGAUGUUUAUUAUGGAGAACAGCAAAAAAGAAAUUAAAACCACAUUGUGAAACAAUACAGUGAACCACAAAAAUGUAUUGUCUUGACAUUUAAAAAAAUUUUCAAUAAUGAAGAAAUUCAUUUUCUAUGGAUUCAUAGAUGUAACAACAUCCACAUGUUCUCUUCCAUUACAUUGAACUACCACAUGUAUGCAUGUUUAUUUGAAUGCAUAUAUUUGAUUUUUUUCUAGGUUAUUUGUAGACAUCUUAUUGUUUGUUGUAAAUGCUCCUGCUUUUCUAACCUGGUAAUAGAAUGGGUAAAAAUCCCUAACUCUGUGAUAUUACCUUCCCUAGACAUUUACUAAGACUGAAAGCUAUAUGAUUAUUAAUAAAUUUUUAUAUAUGUUUAAGGAACACACUAUA